AGAGUUUUUGAUCCUGGCUCAGAUUUGAACGCUGGCGGCAUGCCUUUACACAUGCAAGUCGAACGGCAGCACGGGUGCUUUGCACCUGGUGGCGAGUGGCGAACGGGUGAGUAAUACAUCGGAACGUGUCCUGUAGUGGGGGAUAGCCCGGCGAAAGCCGGAUUUAAUACCGCAUACGAUCUACGGAUGAAAGCGGGGGA
rnacentral:rRNA from 1 species